rnacentral:rRNA from 1 species
UACAGAGGUCUCAACCGUUGUUCGGAUUCAUUGGGCGUAAAGGGUGCGUAGGUGGCGGGGUUAGUCAGGUGUGAAAUCUCGGGGCUCAACCCCGAAACUGCACUUGAUACUGCCUUGCUAGAGUACUGGAGAGGAGAUUGGAAUUUACGGUGUAGCAGUGAAAUGCGUAGAUAUCGUAAGGAAGACCAGUGGCGAAGGCGAAUCUCUGGACAGUUACUGACACUGAGGCACGAAGGCCAGGGGAGCAAACGGG